CCCCCACGCCGCGCGCGAAAUCCCUCCAUGUCUUGCAGCGAGUGCGGACGCGGCAGCCCCUGCGCGACCCUCAUCUGCAUAGAUACCGCCCACAUCCGUGACAUCAAGGAUGACGUCUCCGUCCCCAGCCAACCAGUGCGUCCGCCCCCCACCUGGGAGGAGGAGGUGCCACCCUGCCGGGCGCUUUUCUGCACCUCAUCUGCGUAGACCACGACCCUCCCCUCCCCCUCGCUCCGUUGGCUUGGUGAACUUGCUUUUUUACUCCUUGCUUUUCUCCGUGUAACGGUCCUGUUUGUCCUGGAACUCACUCUGGCGACCAGGCUGGCCUCCAACUCACAGGGAUCCGCCUGCCUCUGCUUCCCGAGUGCUGGCAGUAAAGAAUAACAUUUGGCGCCCGGACGUGAAAAGGCUCUGCCCUUAUACCUUCUGCGACCUGCUGGCGGGCACAUGUUAGGCUAAGGGUAACCUUACAAUCCACUUCCAUCUCCGCUUUUCCUGGCACUUCCUCCUGCCUGCAGCAGCCUGAGAUGCCGGAACUCAACUCGCCGCUUUCCAACUAAGGAUCUCUUAAACUCACUGAUCUGCCUAUUCGCUACAAUCCGGUAAGAAACCCAAACUGUUCCCAUGGGGCAGACCCAGCGCUGUUCAAUCUGGGUCCAUUUUUCGGUUUCGGGCUGGGUGCUCUCAGACAGGGCAAUCUGUGCAUUUUUCGGCCUUGCCCACGGGAAAUACAUUUUUACGAGAUCUUUCGGUUACUGGCAGCGAAUAGGUAAAUGAGCGGAGUUCUGCCUCCCAGUGGGAACUUUCUUUCACCUGGGAAUGUCCCUCAUUGUUCUGUUUGUUCUUUCUCUGACUGUUUCUUCUUGGUUGGCAAUGUCUGCUUGAGACGCUCUAAGAGUUUUUGUUUGUUUGCUGGUUUUCAUUUUGUUUGUUUACUGGUUUGAAACUUUUCUGGCAAUUGAGAAUGUGCUUACGGGGGUCGCCAUCGGCCACGUGUGCUAACCUGGGGGCCGCCAUCUUGGUCAUAACCAGGUGACCUGGCUUAGGCCUACCCACUCAGUUCAAUGACUUCCACCGGCAAGCACUGCCACCUGACAUCCUACUUUUUAUAUCUUUCACUUGUUGGGUGCAUUUCCUAAAGGUCAGGCAAGGGAUCCCGCUCCAGGAGCGGUGCUUUUUUCAGUUCGGACUGCUGGGUCCUUUUUCGGUUUCGGGACAGCUGUGUCCCCUUCGGGGCCAGGCCCCUGGCAACUCCCACGGGCAGACGUGCAUCCGUAGAGGAGCUUUUUGCCGGUUCUCCACCUGCCUCACCCAUGGGAAAUGCACAGAGGAACCUUUCUGGUUUCAUCCAACAAGCAGGUAAACAGACAAAAGCGGCUUACAGUUGCCGCCGUUUUGGUCAUGUGACCUACCUGUAGGCACGCACAGCUCCAGUGGCCUAUCGAACAAACCUGUCUGCCGGAGUUUUGAUUUCUGCCAGAUCUUUUUGCUUUUUAUUUUUAUUUUUUGUCUUUUUCUUUCACUGGCUCUGUUGUUCAUGGCUUGUUUACUAAAUACUGUGCCUUUCCAGGGCCCUCUGUUUAAAUCUACUCUGUCCCUUUAAAUCUCCUGUCUGUUUGCUACAAUGUACAGAUCAGAGAUUACAUUCUGAUUCCCCCUUUACUGUUAUCCAGUCCUGCUUGUCUCUGUACCUGUAAUUUAACUUUAUACUUAUCUAGCUCUAUAUGUAACUUAAAUUAAACUAUACUAAGUCUCAUAUUUCUAAAUUGCUAUAUAUCUUUAAAUGAUGGUAAACAUUUAAAGUCAUAAAGUUCUAAUCUACCUUUACUUAAAAUAUAAGCUAAGUCUAUACAACUUAAAUUUAACUCAUGUAUCUUUAAGUGAUGAUGAAAAUUUAAAAUUAUAAAGAUCUAUUUCAAAUUAACAAAAUAUUUAUACCACUCAGUUUAUCCUGUAAGCCGUUUACAAAGAUACAGCUUUUAUUACAAAAAGGUAUUUUUUCUCUAACUAAAGACAAACUUAACUGCUAAGAUACUAAACAGACAGCCCUCAAAUGCUCAGAGAUCUAGAGAAUAUGGCAUUUAAAAUGUUUUGUUAAAAAGCUUUUUGUAACAGAGAGAUAGGCCAGCUGCUGGCCCCACCCCAUUUCCUCCGAGAAGACUGGGCACUGAAGAAACUUCAUCUCAGUGACAACGCUGGUCACUGAGCAACCCUGCCCUUCACCUCAACUGGUACAAAGUAUUCCAGACCAUGGACAAGAGGACAACGGAAUCGACUUUCCCGGCGUUGCUUGGGCCAACGGUAGGCGAGUCUUCCCAAAGUCUCUAAUCCACAGGUCGCAAGUUAUCAGCAAGAAGGCAGGUAUCCUGCAGCCCACUACUAUGGAUGGAGCACCUUGGGGAUGGCUGUCCAUGCAGCCUGCUGGCAAGUCUCUGUUAUUCUUUAAUCAUUGAUUCAGGUAAAAUCUUAUCCUUCUCAAGAACUCUGAUGCUUUUGACGACUAAUAGUCUUGCCAGCUUAAAGCAAAACAUUCCAGUAACAGGUAUUUUAGGGUUUAUCUAUGUAAAGAUAGGAAAGUCUAAGAUGUAUAAAAGUCUGAGAAUGUAGUUACAAAGGCCUGAGGAUAAAAAGGCUUAAAUGAUGAUAAUGAGUUGAGACAUUAAAAAGAAUAAAAAAUGUUCCUGAUUUCUCUAUUUCUCAUGCUACUGUUCAUAGUAAAGUUCAACAAUACCACUAUAUGAUCAUAACUACAAGGUCAAGAUUAUGAUACUUUUCAUUGUCAAAAAAAAAUCUGUCUGUUUUAAAAUGGUAAUGCUUUUAGCCAAGUUGCUUCUAACAUGAAUAUGCUACUAAUGUGUCUAAUACUUAUGUUUCCACAAACUCUAAGGAUUCUUGUAAGUUCCAGGGAGCCGAAUCAGAUCCAAACAGGUCAGAUUCACUCCAGGUAAUAUUCAACCUUUCCCCAGUCCCAAAUUCCCUUCUCUCAUCUUGGGACUCCUCGGGAACCCCUCCCUCAUCUUACAAUCUUCCCCUCAAGUGACAGGACCUAAGAAAAUUUUUUUUUCUAAUCUCAACCUUGUCUUCUGCUCUGUCAACAUCUUGCCAGGUCUAAGAGGCGCCAGGGAGUUGCAUACAGCCUGGACUACAAUGAAACAACCAGCUUCCCCAGGACGUGGCAGCACCCCAACCUUCUCGGGUCCCCCAAAGAUGGUCAACGCCCCCACGUCAGCAGGAAGCAGUCUUAAGAAUUCGACGCCCUUAUUCCUUAACCUGCCAUGUCUAAACACCCCACCUUUUUUAAUAAUAAGUAGAGGUGGGAAUGAAAGGUUCAGGCAUUAUGCUGGCCUGCCCCUGUUACCUGGUGGAAUCCACUCAGGCAAUACCCUGGUCAGCCCAAGGUUCCAUGGGAAAGAAGUCUGCACACAGGUGCAGAGGACCCCUUUAAAAGAUAGGCCCCUGCACCUUUCUCUCUCUCUCUCUGCCCCUUUACGCUCGCGCUCUCUCUCUCUCUCCCCCUGUUCCUGCUCUCUGUCCCCUCUCUCUGUUUCCCCGCUCUGUCUCUCUAUGGCGACCGGCCAUGGCGGUCAGCCAUUACCCUGUUCCUCUUCUUAGUCUCCCCAUUCUACCGGGCCAUAUAAUAAACUUAUAGUCAAUAUGUCUGUCUCAAUAUUUCUCUUUUCUUCUUUUUAAACAAAAGAAUAACACUUAGAGCUUGUGUGUAUGCUUGUGGAGGGAGGGCUCCAGUGAAUCUUGUUAGUUUCAGUGACUUCCUGAAGAAUAUGGAGUUGUUUACUCUUGAACUUCCUGCAGUAUGCAAUGUUUCACUUCAUCUCCCUUUUAACAUCCUGUCUUAACUUCCCUCUAGAACACCCGUUGUUUGGCUUCCUCUUAAAUCCUGUGUGCUAAUGAAAGUCCCUCCAAUAUGGAAUGUUUUAACUUCCCAGGAACAGUUAUACAACAGUACCUCUCUCAUGAGAAUCUUGGCACCUAUGGGGACGUGUGGGGGAGGAGUGGGUGCCCUUCCAGGUUCUGCUUAACAUGAUUAAUGUACCAAACUGCCAUGUUUAAAGCCAGUAUAUCCCAAACCCAUCAUACCUAAGAUGCAAGCCUCAGGAUCCAAAACAGUGACUGCAAAGGCUAAUGCUUACAUUGAAGGAACCGGCUUCCCUUUUGGCAGCCAUAACAGCCGAACACAUGCUUGCCAUAAACCUGCCUUGGUCACGUAGAGGUCAGAUGCCUGUCUCGUGACAAGGAACCAAUCAGAAGUUAGCUGGUGGCGCUAUGCUUUACGACCCUGGGUGUGCUUUACGGACAAGCGCACAGCAAUGACGUAGAGAGCAUAGCAACCACCCUGGGAGGGCCUAUGAGCCAUAACAACCAGUUGACCAAUCAACACAGGGCAAGCCCUCCAAGCCUGGAGGCACACCAAUCAUGAGCCUGUGCGUAAGCCUGUGCGUACCCCUAGACACUCCCCUUACGCUGCCCUAUAAGAUCUUUGGGGAGACCUUAGGAGCCGUCUUUUUCUAGCCGUCUGCCAUGGCGGGUGGGUGAAAGACCCGAGCUAACAUGGGGUUAGUUCGUUAAAUUACAAUAAAGCCUCGUGCAGUUUGCAG
ensembl:lncRNA